GAUGAAGAACGUAGCGAAAUGCGAUAAGUAAUGUGAAUUGCAGAAUUCAGUGAAUCAUCGAAUCUUUGAACGCACAUUGCGCCCCCUGGUAUUCCGGGGGGCAUGCCUGUUCGAGCGUCAUUACAACCCUCAAGCUCUGCUUGGUAUUGGGCCCCGCCAGUUCUGGCGGGCCCUAAAGUCAGUGGCGGUGCCUUCCGGCUCCGAGCGUAGUAAUUCUUCUCGCUCUGGAGACCCGGUUGUGUGCUUGCCAACAACCCCCAAUUUUUUUCAGGUUGACCUCGGAUCAGGUAGGGAUACCCGCUGAACUUAAGCAUAUCAAUAAGCGGAGGA
rnacentral:misc_RNA from 1 species